CUCCUGGAAACGGGUGGUAAUGCCGGAUGCUCCGCCCCCUCGCAUGGGGGGUCGGGAAGGCUUUUGCGGAAUGGGAUGGGGUCGCGUCCUAUCAGCUUGUUGGCGGGGCGACGGCCCACCAAGGCUUCGACGGGUAGCCGGCCUGAGAGGGCGACCGGCCACAUUGGGACUGAGAUACGGCCCAGACUCCUACGGGAGGCAGCAGUGGGGAAUAUUGCACAAUGGGGGGAACCCUGAUGCAGCGACGCCGCGUGCGGGAUGGAGGCCUUCGGGUCGUGAACCGCUUUUGAUUGGGAGCAAGCGUGAGUGAGUGUACCUUUCGAAUAAGCACCGGCUAACUACGUGCCAGCAGCCGCGGUAAUACGCAGGGUGCAAGCGUUGUCCGGAAUCAUUGGGCGUAAAGGGCUCGUAGGCGGUUCGUCGCGUUCGGUGUGAAAGCCCAUCGCUUAACGGUGGGUCUGCGCCGGGUACGGGCGGGCUUGAGUGCGGCAGGGGAGGCUGGAAUUCCCGGUGUAACGGUGGAAUGUGUAGAUAUCGGGAAGAACACC
rnacentral:rRNA from 1 species